GUUUUUGGUUCUUUCCGUACUGAUCGAGUUCUCGUUCUUCUCUUCUCCGACUUAUUGUUCCAUACAAAUCGUACUCCAUGUCAUAAUCUCCACCCAGCUACAGUUACAGUUCCCGCCAUGGCCUCUACUACUACUACUAGUCUCCAAAUCCCCACUUUCCUCUCCCUCAAACCACUCCCUCAACGCCCCUCCUUCGCCUUCUCCAACCACCCCACCUCCUUCUCUUCCUUCUCCACCUCGUCCUCCUCCCGCCCUCCACGCCGUCGUCUCACUCUCUCUCCCGCCCCCAUUGCCGCCUCUCUCAAGGAAAAUCUGGGCCGGAUUGGAAAGACUUGGAGCGACGUGACUAGCUUGAACAGCUGGGUUGUUCGAGACUACUACCGCCUUGUCAAUUCUGUCAACUCUUUUGAGCCACAGCUACAGAGGCUCACUGAUGACCAGCUUACUGCUAAAACUGCCGAGUUUCGGCGAAGAUUGGGACAAGGAGAGACACUUGCGGAUAUUCAAGCCGAGGCUUUUGCUGUUGUUCGUGAAGCUGCGAAACGGAAGCUUGGUAUGCGUCAUUUUGAUGUUCAGAUUAUUGGUGGGGCGGUGCUUCAUGAUGGGUCCAUUGCAGAAAUGAAGACCGGAGAAGGGAAAACGUUGGUUUCCACAUUAGCAGCAUAUCUUAAUGCCCUGACUGGCGAAGGUGUUCAUGUGGUAACCGUAAAUGAUUACCUUGCUCAAAGGGAUGCUGAGUGGAUGGGUCGUGUUCAUCGCUUCCUAGGUCUUUCAGUGGGUCUUAUUCAGAGAGGGAUGACAGCUGACAAGAGGAGGUCGAACUAUAGAUGUGACAUAACAUACACCAAUAAUUCAGAACUUGGGUUUGACUAUCUACGAGACAAUCUUGCUGGAAACAGUGGAGAACUUGUUAUGAGAUCGCCAAAGCCAUUUCAUUUUGCAAUAGUUGACGAAGUUGACUCAGUUCUUAUUGAUGAAGGAAGAAAUCCAUUGCUAAUUAGUGGCGAGGCUAGUAAAGAUGCUGCUCGCUAUCCUGUUGCUGCUAAAGUGGCUGAGUUGCUUGUGCGAGGAAUUCAUUACAAUGUAGAACUUAAAGAUUACUCAGUUGAGUUGACUGAAGAAGGAAUAGCUCUUGCUGAGAUGGCUCUUGAAACAAAUGACUUAUGGGAUGAAAAUGAUCCCUGGGCCAGAUUUGUGAUGAAUGCGUUGAAAGCUAAAGAGUUCUAUCGGAAGGAUGUGCAAUAUAUUGUCAGAAAUGGGAAGGCUCUCAUAAUCAAUGAGCUCACUGGCAGAGUCGAAGAUAAGAGAAGGUGGUCUGAGGGUAUUCAUCAAGCUGUGGAGGGAAAAGAAGGUUUGAAGAUUCAGGCUGAUUCGGUUGUUAUCGCACAAAUCACAUAUCAAUCUCUGUUCAAGCUCUACCCAAAGCUAUCAGGGAUGACUGGCACUGCAAAAACUGAAGAGAAAGAGUUCUUGAAAAUGUUCCAAACACCAGUUAUUGAAGUACCAACAAAUUUGCCAAACAUUCGUAAUGAUUUACCUAUUCAAGCUUUUGCGACUGCUCAGGGGAAAUGGGAAUAUGUUCGUCAAGAAGUGGAAUACAUGUUCAGGCAGGGGCGUCCUGUUUUGGUUGGCACCACCAGUGUUGAGUAUUCUGAACACCUGUCUGAUCUGUUGAGGGAACAUAACAUCCCACACAAUGUUCUAAAUGCACGGCCCAAGUAUGCUGCAAGGGAGGCUGAAAUUGUUGCCCAAGCUGGACGAAAACAUGCCAUUACUCUUUCUACUAAUAUGGCUGGCAGAGGCACUGACAUAAUCCUAGGGGGGAAUCCUAAAAUGCUUGCAAAAGAAAUCAUAGAAGACAGUUUGAUUUCAUUCCUGACACGAGAAGCUCCUAACAUUGACAUAGAUGGAGAGGCAAUUUCACAAAAGGUAUUGUCAAAGAUUAAGGUCGGUCCAUCAUCAUUAGCUUUGCUGGCUAAGACAGCGUUAAUGGCUAAAUAUGUUGGCAAAAAUGAAGGGAAGAGCUGGACAUAUAAGGAGGCAAAAUCCAUGAUAUCAGAGUCUGUGGAAAUGAGUCAAUCAAGAGAUUUGAAAGAGCUAGAGAGGCUUGUUGAUGAGCAGUCUGAGAUAUACCCUCUUGGCCCUACAAUAGCACUUGCUUAUCUGUCAGUUUUGAAGGAUUGCGAGGUACACUGUUUCAAAGAAGGGUCUGAAGUGAAAAGACUUGGGGGACUUCAUGUGAUUGGAACAUCUUUGCACGAGUCUCGUAGAAUAGAUAACCAGCUUCGUGGCAGAGCAGGAAGGCAAGGUGAUCCAGGAUCAACUCGAUUUAUGGUGAGCUUGCAGGAUGAGAUGUUUCAAAAGUUUAAUUUUGAUACUGAGUGGGCUGUGAGACUUAUUUCAAAAAUUACUGAUGAUGAGGAUGUACCAAUUGAAGGUGAUGCCAUUGUGAGACAGCUCCUGUCCCUGCAAAUUAAUGCUGAAAAGUACUUUUUUGGCAUAAGAAAGAGCCUGGUUGAGUUUGAUGAAGUAUUAGAGGUGCAGAGAAAGCAUGUUUAUGAACUUCGGCAGUCAAUUUUAACUGGUGAUAAUGAAAGUUGUUCCCAGCAUGUAUUCCAGUACAUGCAAGCAGUGGUAGAUGAAAUUGUCUUUAAAAAUGUUCACGCCCUCAAGCAUCCAAGAAAAUGGAGUUUAAAUAAGCUUUUGAAGGAGUUUAUGGCAAUUGCUGGGAAACUAUUGGAUGAUUCAUUUGCAGGAAUUACUGAGGAAGCUUUGUUAGAAUCUCUUGCGCAGUCACAUGAACUGAACUUUAAAGAUAUUGAUGACAUUCACCUUCCAAACUUGCCAAAACCUCCAAAUGCCUUCAGAGGUAUCCGCAAGAAGAACUCUUCAUUGAAACGUUGGCUUGCUAUAUGCUCGGAUGAUUUGACCAAGAAUGCAAAGUACCAUGCUACUACUAACCUCCUCCGCAAGUACCUUGGAGACUAUUUGAUUGCUUCAUAUUUGGAUGUUGUUCAAGACUCUGGUUAUGAUGAUACAUAUGUGAAGGAAGUUGAAAGGGCAGUUAUUGUGAAAACCCUUGAUUGUUUCUGGAGGGAUCACCUUGUAAACAUGAACAGGCUAAGUUCAGCGGUGAAUGUAAGGAGUUUUGGGCACAGGAAUCCUCUUGAAGAAUACAAGAUUGAUGGUUGUCGUUUUUUCAUAUCUAUGCUUAGUGCAACACGAAGGUUGACUGUAGAGUCACUUUUGCAAUAUUGGUCCUCCCCAAUGGAGUCUCAAGAAAUUUUUGUAUCAUGAAGUAUUAGUUAAUCACACAUUUAAAUCUAUGGCUAUAAAGAAUUCAUACUGUGGUUGUAUAGUCAUGGUGAUUGUUUGGAUGGUUGCUUGAAGGAACCAUGGUUUGUAUCUUGGUGGUCUGGUAUGUCAACCAAACUGAUCUUGCCUGGAUUGGACCCGACAAGUGCACUGUUUCAGCGUUUCAUUGAAGAAGGCAGCAGGUUUUUGCUGAGGAACAGAGGAAUUGGAACUGCAAUGAACACCUUGAUUGGAGUGGAGCAAACUAAUUGUCAUCGCAUUUUAUGG